UACGUAGGGUGCAAGCGUUAAUCGGAAUUACUGGGCGUAAAGGGCGCGUAGGCGGGAUGGCAAGUCGGUCGUGAAAUCCCUCGGCUCAACCGAGGAACGUCGAUCGAUACUGCUGUUCUUGAGGAUUGCAGAGGAGACUGGAAUUCCCGGUGUAGCGGUGAAAUGUGUAGAGAUCGGGAGGAACACCGGUGGCGAAGGCGGGUCUCUGGGCAAUUCCUGACGCUGAGGCGCGAAAGCGUGGGGAGCAAACGGG
rnacentral:rRNA from 1 species